UCGACGAUCCCUGUGAAUCACUCCGCGCAUGGGCCGUGCGGCUGCUCGUGGAUGGACAACCUCUCGACACACCGAUGAACCGCAUUCGAGCCGGCGCGUUGCCCGACGGCUUCGCCGCGCUCAAGCAGAGCGCGGAAAGGGAAAAGUCAGGGUUUGUCAGGCUGGCGCUGUGUUCCGCAUUACAACGACUGCCCGCGGAGCAGCGCCUGGAUCUUGCCAGAGCACUGGCCGUUCGUGAUGAGGAUGCCAGCGACCACAAUUUUCCGGCGAUGCUCUGGUAUGCGCUCAUGCCGCUGGCAGAUUCGCAUCCGCAAGUGCUGGCCGAACUGGCGGCCGCGGCGAAGCAGCCGCUGACCCGUCAAUGCAUCGCCCGAUGCCUCACGGCCCAAAUCGACAAACACGGCGCGGCCGUGGAGGCGAUGCUCCAUGCCGCCGCCGGCCAUGUCCGCAGCGCUCAAUGACAUCACCGAAGGCAUGGCGCUGGCCCUUAAGGGCCGCCGGAAAGUUCCCUCACCGCCGGCGUGGGCCGCGAUCAGGGCCGGCGUGGAAAAGACGGCUUCACCGGCUCUGGGCGCACGCCUCAGAGAACUGAGCAUCGUUUUCGGCGACGGGCGCGCGCUGGAGGAAAUCCGCGCCCUCGUGCUGGACAAAUCCGCCGAUCUGCAAAUCCGCAAGGAUGCACUAGCUUCAUUCAUCGCAGCGAAUCCCCCGGACCUGCGCGCGGUCUGCGAAGGCGCCCUCAAAGAGCGAUUUCUCAACGCCGUCGCGGUCACCGGUCUGACAGGAUUCGACGAUCACGCGCUGGCGAAAAAAGUCGCGGGAAGCUACGGCUCGUUCCAUCCGGCGGACCGUCCGGCGCUCGUCGCCGCCCUCGCUGCCCGUCCGGUAUUCGCCGCUGCCCUGCUCGAGGCCAUUGCGGCCAACGCGAUUCCCGUCAGCGAUUUGUCAGCGUUUCAGGCGAGGCAGAUUGCGGCGUUCAACGAUGCCGCUCUGACGGAGAAACUGAAAUCGGUGUGGGGCUCGAUCCGCGAAAGCAGCGGCGAACGCCGUGACUUCAUCACAAAACUGAAAUCGGUCCUGGCACCGCAAGCCCUUGCGACGGCCGAUCUGAAGGCUGGCCGUGUCCUGUUCACCUCGCUCUGCGCCAAUUGCCACGUUCUUUACGGUGAAGGCGGGAAACUCGGGCCCGAUCUCACCGGCGCCCAGCGUCAUGAUCUCGAUUACCUGCUCGAAAACAUCGUUGAUCCCGGCGCCGUCGUCACGGCCGAUUUCAAAAUGAGCCUCGUCCGCUUCAAAGACGGAAGUCUCGCCAGCGGUGUCGUCACGGCGCGCAACGACAAGUCCGUCACCCUCCAUGAACCCACCGGCCCGCGCACCCUUGAUGCCGGGAACAUAGCCGCUAU
rnacentral:misc_RNA from 1 species